AAUCUUGGACAAUGGGGGAAACCCUGAUCCAGCCAUCCCGCGUGUGCGAUGAAGGCCUCCGGGUUGUAAAGCACUUUUGAUAGGGAAGACACAGCACCGGCUACUACCCAGUGCCACUGACGGCACCUGCAGACUACGCGCCUGCUAACUACGUGCCAGCAGCCGCGGUAAUACGUAGGGUGCAAGCGUUAAUCGGAAUUACUGGGCGUAAAGGGUACGCAGGCGGCUAGGAAAGAAGGAUGUGAAAUCCCAGGGCUCCACCUUGGAACUGCAUUCUUAACUGCCUAGCUAGAGUAUGUCAGAGGGGGGUAGAAUUCCACGUGUAGCAGUGAAAUGCGUAGAUAUGUGGAGGAAUACCGAUGGCGAAGGCAGCCCCCUGGGAUAAUACUGACGCUCAGACACGAAAGCGUGGGGAGCAAACA
rnacentral:rRNA from 1 species